UUCUAAUCUUAAAGAAAACUGGGGAUAAUAAUAUUUGAUUAAAAAUUAUGUUAUGAGCAUUAGGCCUGAUAUGGAUGGAACCAUGAUGCAAAAACCACGUAUAUCCGAUUAUCAUAUUCCUUUGGAAGCCGUGGUAACGGCGGCCCUGGUGACGGAUGACGCGGUUGCAGUAGUGUUUACCAACAGAUCUUAAUCGAUAAUACUUACAAUAGAAUCUUAAUAACACAUACGCCUGAAGCACACCGAAUCUAUUACGCUUCACCUUUAUGUAUGGCAGGCUAUUAUGUUUAAAUAGUAGAAAGUGUUCUUAUCGCGGUACUAGCGUGCGCAAAUCAUGCCGUGCUUCUAAUAGUUUUUUUCAUACGGUUGCAAGAUUUACAUCGCGUUGCCUUCACGCUUUAGCCUAUUAUCUUCCAUGAUUUAAGUAAACAGUGUUAGAGGCUGUAAAUAAUACCGUACAAACAAUAUAGGAGAAAAGGUUGUCUUUGAGAGGAUGAGUAAAGAAGACCUGCCACCACCACCACCCUACGAAUAUGCCACCGCACCUCCCGUUUACCAACAAGCACCAGCUUUUUCUACUCAAUACCCAUACGGGAACUACGCGUCUGGGCUUACGGCAGCAUACCCCCAGCAGCACCAAAACCAACACCAUCACCAGCACCAGCCCCAGAACCAGCCUCAGCCUCCUUACGUGUACAGAUCAGUGCCAGGACAGGUUAACUAUGUACAGAGUGUUCACCCUCAUAGGCCUAAUAAUAGAGUAAUAGUUAUGGAUAAUCGACGAAGGCGACAAGAUAAUGAUCAGUACGAAGCUUUCUGCAUGGGCGCGCUGUGUGCCGCCUGCCUGUGUUGCCUAAUUUCUGAUUAAAGAUUGUUUCGUAGACUGUUACAUUGGUCACAAUUAGACGAAGGCUAAUUAUUAUAGAAACUUAGGUAUCAGUGGCGGAUCCAGGAAUUCAAGAUAGAGGGGAGACAGCAAGGGGCUUUCACAGAUAGAGAGUCCACUGGCUUCCUCGGCCGUUGGGGCUGAGGCAAGAAAAUGUAUGAUUAUAGCACAUUUCAAUACAGAAAGGACACUCUCCGACAUAAAUUUCAUUAUAAUUUUAUUUUUUCCUCAAUUUUUUUUAUAAUUUUGAAAAACUUAGGUGGUGGGGGGGGGGGGUAGGGUGCGUCGGCCAGCUGGCCUCCACCCCCGUUGAAUCCGCAACUGGGUAUGCCAAUAUGUGCACCAUCUAAGAUUUUCGUUGCCUAUAUUUUCAUCAGUCAAUUACGGUGCCAGGGGCACAACACUUUAUAAUAAUAAGUGUUAGCACAUAAAAUUUAUAUGCAUUGGAAUUUUUAAAAUUUGGUGGAAAAUGGUGUGGGGGGAGGGGGCACACACGUGCCCCCCUACUGGAUCCGCGCCUGUAUACUGUCAAUAACUACGUUUGAGUGUGAAGUUGUACCAUCAUAUUUUUAUAAUCGUGUCACCAUUCAACAGAUAACAUUGUCGACCUUAAAGAAGAUGAAUGUUUAAAUACUCGCAUUAUGUUGAUACAAUUCUCCACCAUCUAUCAUCCAAUCGGAAACUGAAUAUUAUUUUUAUUAACAAUAAAAAAAAAAAAAAAAAAACGGUAACGAAACUUGUAGAGACAGAAAACUGUAAUAUACAGUGGCGGAUCCAGAGUCUUUCAAACGGGGAGGGUUAUCUUAUUUGUAUGCUAUUUUCUUAUUUCAAUUCGUGGCAUUGGUAUGUAUUGAAAAUCACUAUGGCUAAACUUAGGAGGUGGGGGCUGGAUGCAAUCUCCCACAUUGGAUCCGCCCUUUGACAUUGAAUGACUGUUGGGCAGAAAUGGAUCCCAGAUUUUUGUU